rnacentral:rRNA from 1 species
AGUCGAGCGGCAGCGCGGGGUGCAACCCUGGCGGCGAGCGGCGAACGGGUGAGUAAUGCAUCGGAACGUGUCCCGUAAUGGGGGAUAACCCGGCGAAAGCCGGACUAAUACCGCAUAUGCUCUACGGAGGAAAGCGGGGGAUUCGCAAGAACCUCGCGCUAUGGGAGCGGCCGAUGUCCGAUUAGCUUGUUGGUGAGGUAAUGGCUUACCAAGGCGACGAUCGGUAGCUGGUCUGAAAGGAUGAUCAGCCACACUGGGACUGAAACACGGCCCAAACUCCUACGGGAGGCAGCAGUGGGGAAUUUUGGACAAUGGGGGCAACCCUGAUCCAGCCAUGCCGCGUGCGGGAAGAAGGCCUUCGGGUUGUAAACCGCUUUUGUCCGGAAAGAAAAGGCGCUCCCUAAUACGGGGCGUUCUUGACGGUACCGGAAGAAUAAGCACCGGCUAACUACGUGCCAGCAGCCGCGGUAAUACUUACGGUGCGAGCGUUAAUCGGAAUUACUGGGCGUAAAGCGUGCGCAGGCGGUCCGCAUAGUCUGAUGUGAAAGCCCCGGGCUCAACCUGGGAACUGCAUUGGAAACUAACGGGCUCGAGUGUGGCAGAGGGGGGUGGAAUUCCACGUGUAACAAUGAAAUGCGUAGAGAUGUGGAGGAACACCGAUGGCGAACGCAGCC